UUGCUGACUUGCCGCCCUUCUUCACCUUGUCGCUGUUCUUGUUCGCCUUGGCACCGCCGUUGCCGGACUUGAUCGAUUCAGCAUCGCUAUCCGCCAUCGUAGAUAGUAGAUCGUGAAGGCUAUAGAUACCAAUUAUUGGCUUUGAUCCCUAGAUCGAAUCAUCCAGAAGCUACCACGUACUUGUAAGCAAAGCUAACAAGCAAGCAAGCUAGCAGCUUGAUGGAUUUUGCAUGCAACACAUACGUACGCGACCUGGUAAAAGCUGGAUCGAAUCGAUCGUAGAUGGAUACUCUCGACGGGUUUUCUGCGACUUAGCGAACGAAGGCACCGAAUCGAUGGAUUGCAAACAGGCUCGUGUCAAGCCUUGCUUUUUUGCUUUAAUUUGUA
rnacentral:lncRNA from 1 species